AUCUAACUGACGAGUCCCAAAUAGGACGAAACGGGCUUCCUGGAU
rfam:Schistosoma mattheei strain Denwood, Zambia genome assembly, scaffold: SMTD_contig0002695